UCGCAAUGCCCGAAAGGGUGACGAAGCGACGCCGCGUGUGGGAAGAAGGCCUUCGGGUUGUAAACCACUGUCGGGAGUUAGGAAAUGUAAGGGUGCUAAUAGUAUCCUUACUUGACUAAGGCUCCGGAGGAAGCCACGGCUAACUCUGUGCCAGCAGCCGCGGUAAUACAGAGGCGGCAAGCGUUGUUCGGAAUUAUUGGGCGUAAAGAGCACGUAGGCGGCCUUGUAAGUCAGUUGUGAAAGCCUUCUGCUUAACGGAAGAACAGCAGCUGAUACUGCAAGGCUAGAGUGCGGAAGGGGAGAGUGGAACUUCUGGUGGAGCGGUGAAAUGCGUAGAUAUCAGAAGGAACACCGGCGGCGAAGGCGACUCUCUGGUCCGUAACUGACGCUGAGUGUGCGAAAGCUAGGGGAGCAAACGGGAUUAGAUACCCCGGUAGUCCUAGCCGUAAACGAUGGGCACUAAGUAGAGGGGUUUUA
rnacentral:rRNA from 1 species